rnacentral:rRNA from 1 species
AGAGUUUGAUCAUGGCUCAGAUUGAACGCUGGCGGCAUGCUUUACACAUGCAAGUCGAACGGCAGCGCGGGGGCAACCCUGGCGGCGAGGUGGCGAACGGGUGAGUAAUGCAUCGGAACGUAUCCUGUAAUGGGGGAUAACGUAGCGAAAGUUACGCUAAUACCGCAUACGCUCGAGAGAGGAAAGUGGGGGAUCGCAAGACCUCACGUUAUAGGAGCGGCCGAUGUCCGAUUAGCUAGUUGGUGGGGUAAAGGCCUACCAAGGCGACGAUCGGUAGCUGGUCUGAGAGGAUGAUCAGCCACACUGGGACUGAGACACGGCCCAGACUCCUACGGGAGGCAGCAGUGGGAAAUUUUGGACAAUGGGCGAAAGCCUGAUCCAGCCAUGCCGCGUGCGGGAAGAAGGCCUUCGGGUUGUAAACCGCUUUAGUCCGGGAAAAAGGGGUGCGAGGAUAAUACCCUCGUGCUUUGAUGGUACUGGAAGAAUAGGCACCGGCUAACUACGUG